UGGGGAAUAUUGGACAAUGGGCGAAAGCCUGAUCCAGCCAUGCCGCGUGUGUGAAGAAGGCCUUUUGGUUGUAAAGCACUUUAAGUGGGGAGGAAAAGCUUAUGGUUAAUACCCAUAAGCCCUGACGUUACCCACAGAAUAAGCACCGGCUAACUCUGUGCCAGCAGCCGCGGUAAUACAGAGGGUGCAAGCGUUAAUCGGAAUUACUGGGCGUAAAGCGCGCGUAGGUGGUUAUUUAAGUCAGAUGUGAAAGCCCCGGGCUUAACCUGGGAAUUGCAUUUCAGACUGGGUAACUAGAGUACUUUAGGGAGGGGUAGAAUUCCACGUGUAGCGGUGAAAUGCGUAGAGAUGUGGAGGAAUACCGAAGGCGAAGGCAGCCCCUUGGGAAUGUACUGACGCUCAUGUGCGAAAGCGUGGGGAGCAAACAGGAUUAGAUACCCUGGUAGUCCACGCUGUAAACGCUGUCGAUUUGGGGGUUGGGGUUUAACUCUGGCGCCCGUAGCUAACGUGAUAAAUCGACCGCCUGGGGAGUACGGCCGCAAGGUUA
rnacentral:rRNA from 1 species